GGUUCAGGAUGAACGCUAGCUACAGGCUUAACACAUGCAAGUCGAGGGCAGCGGGAAGAAGCUGCUUCGUUCGCCGGCGACCGGCGCACGGGUGAGUAACGCGUAUCCAACCUGGCCCUUAGUAGGGGAUAGCCCGGCGAAAGUCGGAUUAAUACCCUAUGUUCUUCGUAGAAGACAUCUGAAAUGAAGCAAAGAUUUAGUCGCUAAGGGAUGGGGAUGCGUCUGAUUAGGUAGUCGGCGGGGUAACGGCCCACCGAGCCAUCGAUCAGUAGGGGUUCUGGGAGGAAGGUCCCCCACAUUGGUACUGAGACACGGACCAAACUCCUACGGGAGGCAGCAGUGAGGAAUAUUGGUCAAUGGGCGCGAGCCUGAACCAGACCCAAGUAGCGUGAGGGAAGACUGCCCUAUGGGUUGUAAACCUCGUUUUGCCGGGGAAUAAAGUGACGUACGUGUACGUUUUUGUAUGUACCCGGAGAAUAAGGACCGGCUAAUUCCGUGCCAGCAGCGGC
rnacentral:rRNA from 1 species